UACGGAGGGUGCGAGCGUUGUUCGGAAUCACUGGGCGUAAAGCGCGUGCAGGCGGCUGGUUAAGUCUGGUGUGAAAGCCCGGGGCUCACCCCCGGAAGUGCGCUGGAAACUGGCCAGCUAGAGUAUGGGAGAGGGAAGUGGAAUUCCUGGUGUAGCGGUGAAAUGCGUAGAUAUCAGGAGGAACACCGGCGGCGAAGGCGGCUUCCUGGACCAAUACUGACGCUCAUGCGCGACAGCGUGGGGAGCAAACAGG
rnacentral:rRNA from 1 species